UGGGACUGCCUCUCUGCCCUUCCAGGCGGACAGCGGUGCCGAACAGCGCAUGCGCCCCGCGGCCCUCGGCUCUGCACCGCUAGCGGGGGGUGGUAACGGUUCCCCCUACUACCUUCCAGAGUGCAGUGCGGAGGAAACAAGCCAGCGAAGGCGUGGAUGAAGCCCGGGGCGGGAGAAGUUCAGGCGCUUGUUCCGAGGCCCGCGGUGGGUGCCCGGUGUCGUCCUUCUUCCCCCUGCGAGCGAGCCGGGAGCCUUGUCACCCCGGCACUGUCCCGGCCGCCCACAGCAGCGAAUAUCUGGGGGCUUGUUAGAAAUGUGAGGGUUUGGCCCCAGCGAAGCCAGGCUGAAUCAGAAACUGAGCUCAGAAAGGGACGGGGCCCCAAGACCCGCCGGAAGACAGGAAAAUGCUUCUCAUCGUCCCCUGGUGGCCAGAGGGCGAACAACACCCAGCCUCCCGCUCGCCCAGAUGACGAAGCGGGGCUGGAAGGCGUCAGGACCGCACAGAACCAGGCUCACCCAGGCCAUGCUCAAGACUUGAACCGAGACCAGCCCGGAGCCAAACCCCCAAGUCCGUUUCCAUAGGGACCAGGCACAGCCAGCCCAUGACCUACCUCCUUGGGAAUCAGCCUCCAAAAUGCUGCUUCCAUCCCAGGGUUCCGGGGGGGCAGAGGCCCUCCCCUCGAGUUCAGCCCGGAUCCCACCAGUCAGCCUCUGUGGUCCCAGCCCCGUGGCCCCGCAUGCCUUGGGAACCCGGUACAAAUGCACAUUCUCGGGCCCACUGGGUUCCUGGCCACCUGUAGGUGUGAGAGGCCCUAGGUUAAGGGGUCCUGUGGGGAGAGGGGCAGAGCAGCCAGGCCCUCCCUGGCUGAGUGGGAAGAGCGUCCUUGUCCCCUGAGGGCCACAGGAGAGACCUGAGGAGUGAGGCGCCUGCCAGGGUGGCGCUCAGCCUUGGGCACAGCGUGCUUAGCCCUGCCCCCUGCCGCAAGAGCUUGUUCGUGCAGCUGGCUGGUAGCCUGGCCCCAGGAUAAGGUCACAGGCGAGGCCUCGGUGUCCCCCAGACCUGUGACCCGGAGGCCUGGGCCUCCACUUAGGAUCUGCAGUCAGGCGGGAUGGGGAUGGGGAAAGCAUGGGGCCCAGCUGCCUCUGCCCCGGGGUCCAGCGGAGGCGGGGCCGAGGGCACCCAGGUUGGGUCCUGGGAGCGUCUGGCUCCCGCGAGGCUCGGCACUGGGCUGUCACAGACCAUCCCAUUACUUCUCUUGGAGGAACCUGAACGGUUGUUGCCAGCCAAUGCUUCCCCUAAGCUGUACUCUCGCGUAACACCGUGAGUGUGAGGAUGUGCGUGUGCACGCGCGCGCGCCUGUGCUGAGGGUGGGGGACAGAGAUGUGCCAGUGCAUUCAGCGUAUCUGCAAAGCCGUGGGAGACGUACUUUGCCCCAACGCGCACACGCACACACACCCUCAAGGCCCCCUUGAAAUUCAAGUGGUCAGAAAUAGUUCAUAACGUCACCAGGAGAGGGCGUGCUUCCCCACUGUGGGGUGGAAGUGCCCCUGCUCCUGACUGCUGGCGGUUUUAGUGCUUAGGAACAGCCAGGUGUGCUUGUCAGCCAGAGUGAUUUCAGGAACACAAAGAACACACUGGCCUCACCCAGGCUCCUCCGAGGCCGUCUGGGGAUUCCCUGGCCCUAGGCCGGUUUCGAAGGCGAACACCCUGAGGAUGACCUGGAAGGGAGGCCGCUGCCUCUUUUGUGACCCUGAGGCCGAAGGAGUUAAGGUUUGAGAAGCUGCAAGGUGAAGUGAACGCAGGGGCGGGCAGAGGCACAGGGAGCAGAAACGGCGAAGCCAGGCCUCCCGAGCCGAGCCCCCGAGUGUCCCCGUCCUCUGUCCCGGAGAGGAAAAAGCCUGGGCCAGGCAGGGGGCCCUUCUGUCCCAGUGCUGCGGGCGGGAGCGGCCCGGUGUCUUGCCAUUGGUGUUCGCGAGCGGAAGCUAUCUUGGUAUCCCAGCUCCUAGCUCCGGGCCUGGCAAAGCUGCGGAGCUCGGCAGAUGUGUAGUCCGUGAGGUCUGAGCGUCCGUACGAGGGGACCGCUCCGCGCUCCGCAGGGCAGCCUCGCGUUUGUCCUAAUAGCGGUUCUGCAGCUCAUGCCUCCACGUUACCACACAAGUUGCUUUUGCGCGAUGCCCAGCGCUGCGCCCGCACGCAGGUGGACCCCGUGAGGCGGCUGUGUGUUGCUUGGCUAGUGGCUA